AUCCUCUGUCCAGCUGGUCCAUCAAUGUUUGUCCCCGGGACAGAUCAAGGUGUCCUGUCUCUCUGAAGGGGACAGUCCUCAGUACAACUGGACUCUGGAUGGAAAAACACUGAAAGACUCUGAACUCCUCUCUGGAAAUGAUCAGACUAGCAUCAUCGUUGUGAGACAGAACAUCUCAGGGCGUCUCGUCUGCUCAGUUAGGAAUCAAGUUAGUUCCUCCUCGAACUACUUUAACAUAUCUGACAGUGGCUUUAAAAUCAACUGCACCUCCAAUAGGACACAAACAGAUAUAUUGGUGGAUAAAGUAAACAACACCCAGGAUGUUGAAGUAACAACAGUCUAUCCAACAAUCAGACAUACUACAAUUGCUCCCGUGUCUUCUGUCCAGCUGGUCUCUGAGUGUUUGUCCCAGGGCCGUAUGAAGGUGUCCUGUCUCUCUGAGAAAGGGGACAGUCCUCAAUACAGCUGGACGCUCGAUGGACACACACUGACAGACUCUGAAAUCUUCUCUAGAAAUAAUGUGAAUAAUACCAUUAUUCUUAGAAGAACCAUCUCAGGACUUCUGGCCUGUUUAGUCAGAAAUCAGAUCAGUCAAUCCUUCAAGCAGAUGAGCUUAUUUACCUGUGGUGUGAAACCUUCCUGUGAUGGGAGAAAGGAUGGAGCUCAAUGUUUUGGAGCUCUGGGAAGAAAGGUGGACCUUACAUUGGUGGACAGCCCCUCAAAUAUUCCUGGAUUCCAGUUGAAAAAGAACAACUCAGUGAUACUCAUAUGGAGAAACAACAACAUUAUAUUAAGCAUAGAAAAGAGCAGAUUGUUUUUUUUUCCCGGGAACGGAACACUUAGGAUUCAUGUCCUGGGUAGGACUGAUAGUGGUCAAUAUAAACUUGACAUGUUUGAUAAAUAUGGGAAGGAAACAGGAUUUAGAACGCUGCAGCUGUUUG